rnacentral:rRNA from 1 species
AGAGUUUGAUCCUGGCUCAGGAUGAACGCUGGCGGCGUGCCUAACAAAUGCAAGUCGAACGGAUCCAUACUGAAACCUAGUGAUGUAUGGAUUAGUGGCGGACGGGUGAGUAACGCGUGGAUAACCUGCCGUAUACAGGGGGAUAACACUUAGAAAUAGGUGCUAAUACCGCAUAAGCGCACGGUUCCGCAUGGAACAGUGUGAAAAACUCCGGUGGUAUACGAUGGAUCCGCGUCUGAUUAGCCAGUUGGCGGGGUAACGGCCCACCAAAGCGACGAUCAGUAGCCGGCCUGAGAGGGUGAACGGCCACAUUGGGACUGAGACACGGCCCAAACUCCUACGGGAGGCAGCAGUGGGGAAUAUUGCACAAUGGGGGAAACCCUGAUGCAGCGACGCCGCGUGAGUGAAGAAGUAUUUCGGUACGUAAAGCUCUAUCAGCAGGGAAGAAAAAAAGUCCUUUGGACUUUGGACGGUACCUGACCAAGAAGCCCCGGCUAACUACGUGCCAGCAGCCGCGGUAAUACGUAGGGGGCAAGCGUUAUCCGGAUUUACUGGGUGUAAAGGGAGCGUAGACGGCAGCGCAAGUCUGGAGUGGAAUGCCGGGGCUCAACCCCGGAACUGCUUUGGAAACUGUGCAGCUCGAGUGCAGGAGAGGUAAGCGGAAUUCCUAGUGUAGCGGUGAAAUGCGUAGAUAUUAGGAGGAACACCAGUGGCGAAGGCGGCUUACUGGACUGUAACUGACGUUGAGGCUCGAAAGCGUGGGGAGCAAACAGGAUUAGAUACCCUGGUAGUCCACGCCGUAAA